UGAAUUUAUUUACUGUUACUUUCAUUAUGGAAACCUCACUAUUUCUACCCUGACCAUAGCAGCUGAGUGUGUACUGUUUCAGGCUCAUGAAACUACCAGGAUUCAUGGAUGGAAAGCUUCAUUUCACCCCAUGCCACUGUUUUCUAGACCUGUCUUCAGCCCCGGCAUGAUCAAAGACUGUGGAGCCACAUGGGUAGUCCUGGGGCACUUGGAGAGAAGACAUGUCUUUGGGGAGUCAGAUAAGCUGAUUGGGCAGAAAGUGGCCCAUGCUCUGUCAGAGGGACUCGGAGUAAUCACCUGUAUCAGGGAAAAGCUAGAUGAGAGGGAAGCUGGCAUCACUGAGGUUGUUUUCGAGCAAACCAAGGUCAUCGCAGAUAACGUGAAGGACAGGAACAAGGUUGUCCUGGCCUAUGAGCCUGUAUGAGCCAUUGGUACUGGCAAGACUGCAACACCCCAAAAGGCCCAGGAAGUACAUGAGAAGCUCCGGGGAUGGCUUAAGUCCAACAUCUUUGAUGCAGUGACUCAGAGCACCCAUAUUAUUUAUGGAGGUUCUGUCAUGGGGGCAACCUGCAAGGAGCUGGCAAGCCAGCCUGAUGUGGAUGGCUUUUUCAUGGGUGGCGCCUCCCUCAAGCCUGAAUUCGUGGACAUCAUCAAUGCCAAACAAUAGGCCCAUCCAUCUUCCCUACUCUUCCUGCUAAGCCAGGGACUAGGUAGCCCUGAAGUCCAGUAACUGCCCCCACCCUGCACAUGUUUCUGAUGGUAUCAUCAGCACCCUCUCAUGGCCUACUCCAAACUAUAUCUUCCUUUACUGUUUAUACAUUCCCCCACAAUGGUUGGGACCAGGCCA